AAGGCCGCAGAGAAGAGGCCCAAGCGACUGUUUACCAAAAACACAGGUCUCUGCUAAGCCGAAAGGCGAAGUAUAGGGGCUGACGCCUGCCCGGUGCUGGAAGGUUAAGGGGAAGGGUGAAAGCCCUGAACCGAAGCCCCAGUGAACGGCGGCCGUAACUAUAACGGUCCUAAGGUAGCGAAAUUCCUUGUCGGGUAAGUUCCGACCUGCACGAAAGGCGUAACGACUUGGGCGCUGUCUCGAGGAGGGGCCCGGCGAAGUUGUAGUGCUCGUGAAGAUGCGAGCUACCCGCGAUUGGACGGAAAGACCCCGUGGAGCUUUACUGUAGCCUGUCACUGG
rnacentral:rRNA from 1 species